rnacentral:rRNA from 1 species
AGCGUACACGGUGGAUGCCCUGGCAGUCAGAGGCGAUGAAGGGCGUGCUAAUCUGCGAUAAGCGCCGGUAAGGUGAUAUGAACCGUUAUAACCGGCGAUACCCGAAUGGGGAAACCCAGUGUGACUCGUCACACUAUCAUUAACUGAAUCCAUAGGUUAAUGAGGCGAACCGGGGGAACUGAAACAUCUAAGUACCCCGAGGAAAAGAAAUCAACCGAGAUUCCCCCAGUAGCGGCGAGCGAACGGGGAGGAGCCCAGAGCCUGAAUCAGCAUGUGUGUUAGUGGAAGCGUCUGGAAAGGCGCGCGAUACAGGGUGACAGCCCCGUACACAAAAGCGCAUGUGCUGUGAGCUCGAUGAGUAGGGCGGGACACGUGGUAUCCUGUCUGAAUAUGGGGGGACCAUCCUCCAAGGCUAAAUACUCCUGACUGACCGAUAGUGAACCAGUACCGUGAGGGAAAGGCGAAAAGAACCCCGGCGAGGGGAGUGAAAAAGAACCUGAAACCGUGUACGUACAAGCAGUGGGAGCACAGGUUUACCUGUGUGACUGCGUACCUUUUGUAUAAUGGGUCAGCGACUUAUAUUCUGUAGCAAGGUUAACCGUAUAGGGGAGCCGUAGGGAAACCGAGUCUUAACCGGGCGUUAAGUUGCAGGGUAUAGACCCGAAACCCGGUGAUCUAGCCAUGGGCAGGUUGAAGGUUGGGUAACACUAACUGGAGGACCGAACCGACUAAUGUUGAAAAAUUAGCGGAUGACCUGUGGCUGGGGGUGAAAGGCCAAUCAAACCGGGAGAUAGCUGGUUCUCCCCGAAAGCUAUUUAGGUAGCGCCUCGUGAAUUCAUCUCCGGGGGUAGAGCACUGUUUCGGCUAGGGGGCCAUCCCGGCUUACCAACCCGAUGCAAACUGCGAAUACCGGAGAAUGUUAUCACGGGAGACACACGGCGGGUGCUAACGUCCGUCGUGAAGAGGGAAACAACCCAGACCGCCAGCUAAGGUCCCAAAGUCAUGGUUAAGUGGGAAACGAUGUGGGAAGGCCCAGACAGCCAGGAUGUUGGCUUAGAAGCAGCCAUCAUUUAAAGAAAGCGUAAUAGCUCACUGGUCGAGUCGGCCUGCGCGGAAGAUGUAACGGGGCUAAACCAUGCACCGAAGCUGCGGCAGCGAACGUAUCACCCAAGACAACUUUACGGAGUUGACGAUUGACGGAGCGAAGCGACGUCAAAGCGUUCAUUAAAGUCGAGUUGGCUUAGGGAUACGUUCGUUGGGUAGGGGAGCGUUCUGUAAGCCUGUGAAGGUGUGUCGUGAGGCAUGCUGGAGGUAUCAGAAGUGCGAAUGCUGACAUAAGUAACGAUAAAGCGGGUGAAAAGCCCGCUCGCCGGAAGACCAAGGGUUCCUGUCCAACGUUAAUCGGGGCAGGGUGAGUCGACCCCUAAGGCGAGGCCGAAAGGCGUAGUCGAUGGGAAACGGGUUAAUAUUCCCGUACUUGGUGUUACUGCGAAGGGGGGACGGAGAAGGCUAUGUUGGCCGGGCGACGGUUGUCCCGGUUUAAGCGUGUAGGUGUGUGUUCCAGGUAAAUCCGGUUCACUUUAACACUGAGGCGUGACGACGAGGCACUACGGUGCUGAAGCAACAAAUGCCCUGCUUCCAGGAAAAGCCUCUAAGCAUCAGGUAACACGAAAUCGUACCCCAAACCGACACAGGUGGUCAGGUAGAGAAUACCAAGGCGCUUGAGAGAACUCGGGUGAAGGAACUAGGCAAAAUGGUGCCGUAACUUCGGGAGAAGGCACGCUGACACGUAGGUGAAGUGAUUUACUCAUGGAGCUGAAGUCAGUCGAAGAUACCAGCUGGCUGCAACUGUUUAUUAAAAACACAGCACUGUGCAAACACGAAAGUGGACGUAUACGGUGUGACGCCUGCCCGGUGCCGGAAGGUUAAUUGAUGGGGUCAGCGUAAGCGAAGCUCCUGAUCGAAGCCCCGGUAAACGGCGGCCGUAACUAUAACGGUCCUAAGGUAGCGAAAUUCCUUGUCGGGUAAGUUCCGACCUGCACGAAUGGCGUAAUGAUGGCCAGGCUGUCUCCACCCGAGACUCAGUGAAAUUGAACUCGCUGUGAAGAUGCAGUGUACCCGCGGCAAGACGGAAAGACCCCGUGAACCUUUACUAUAGCUUGACACUGAACAUUGAGCCUUGAUGUGUAGGAUAGGUGGGAGGCUUUGAAGUGUGGACGCCAGUCUGCAUGGAGCCGACCUUGAAAUACCACCCUUUAAUGUUUGAUGUUCUAACGUGGACCCGUAAUCCGGGUUGCGGACAGUGUCUGGUGGGUAGUUUGACUGGGGCGGUCUCCUCCUAAAGAGUAACGGAGGAGCACGAAGGUUGGCUAAUCCUGGUCGGACAUCAGGAGGUUAGUGCAAUGGCAUAAGCCAGCUUGACUGCGAGCGUGACGGCGCGAGCAGGUGCGAAAGCAGGUCAUAGUGAUCCGGUGGUUCUGAAUGGAAGGGCCAUCGCUCAACGGAUAAAAGGUACUCCGGGGAUAACAGGCUGAUACCGCCCAAGAGUUCAUAUCGACGGCGGUGUUUGGCACCUCGAUGUCGGCUCAUCACAUCCUGGGGCUGAAGUAGGUCCCAAGGGUAUGGCUGUUCGCCAUUUAAAGUGGUACGCGAGCUGGGKUUAGAACGUCGUGAGACAGUUCGGUCCCUAUCUGCCGUGGGCGCUGGAGRACUGAGGGGGGCUGCUCCUAGUACGAGAGGACCGGAGUGGACGCAUCACUGGUGUUCGGGUUGUCAUGCCAAUGGCACUGCCCGGUAGCUAAAUGCGGAAGAGAUAAGUGCUGAAAGCAUCUAAGCACGAAACUUGCCCCGAGAUGAGUUCU